CAAAAGAGAAAUAGUGAGAGAAACGGGUUAGAGAGAACCUAGAGAGAGGAGGAAGAAUAAACGGCCGAAAGACUCAUCAAAAACUACCGACGGAGUCCGUUCCGGUCAAGACUAUGAUGCAAGGAGCCUUUCUUGAAAGGGAAAAGAGAAUGUGGGUGGCCGGAUUCCCAUUUUCCAUCAAGAAAUCGGAAAAACCCGCGAGGAACAACUCACGCACGGUCUGUGAAGAAGUUUGGCCGAGACCUCAACCCGAAGGCGGAGAUCCGAGAGUCGUUCGAGAACGGUGUCGGUCGAGGUGGAGGAGCGUUCGAGAGCUGUGUGGUCACAGAGGGGAUCGUUCCAGAGCGUCAGUCCCUUGUCGGUCUCUUAGAGUCUUUUGUAUUUUUCUUCAUAAUUUUAUUUCCGGUUGGAAAUAUUUGAUUUUAAUUUUGUAU